GAAAUGCGAUAAGUAAUGUGAAUUGCAGAAUUCAGUGAAUCAUCGAAUCUUUGAACGCACAUUGCGCCCGCCAGUAUUCUGGCGGGCAUGCCUGUUCGAGCGUCAUUUCAACCAUCAAGCCCCCGGCUUGUGUUGGGGACCUGCGGCUGCCCGCAGGCCCUGAAAAACAGUGGCGGGCUCGCUGUCACACCGAGCGUAGUAGCAUACAUUCUCGCUCAGGGCGUGCUGCGGGUUCCGGCCGUUAAACGUCCUUCAUAACCCAAGGUUGACCUCGGAUCGGGUAGGAAGACCCGCUGAACUUAAGC
rnacentral:misc_RNA from 1 species